UACGGAGGGGGCUAGCGUUGUUCGGAAUUACUGGGCGUAAAGCGUGCGCAGGCGGUUUUGUAAGCCAGAUGUGAAAGCCCCGGGCUUAACCUGGGAAUGGCAUUUGGGACUGCAAGGCUGGAGUUUGGCAGAGGAGACUGGAAUUCCUGGUGUAGCAGUGAAAUGCGUAGAUAUCAGGAGGAACACCGAUGGCGAAGGCAGGUCUCUGGGCCACUACUGACGCUGAGAAGCGAAAGCAUGGGGAGCGAACAGG
rnacentral:rRNA from 1 species